rnacentral:lncRNA from 1 species
AUGAGGUCAAAACCUGAGCGCACGCGAUGGCAAACAGGGCAGGAUGAUGUUGUGGGUCCUGUGAGGCAGAGGGUGGAAGAGAGGAGACAUCCCGGCCCCCUCCCAGGAGCUGAGGAGGGAGGUGGCAGGUGGGGGUCCCCAAAGGCAUCCCCACCGUACCUGGGGGGGUCGUACAACCCCCUUUGCUGCACCUGGUUGCACAAUUUCGGAGGUGAGUGCUGGUACAAGGAUUUGCCAUUCUAUGGCUGUUGGGGUGUGGGGUGCACAGCCCGGUCCCCCACCCCAAGCCCGCUGUCUGCUCCGUGUGGGAUGGUGACAUUAACGUUUGCCAUCACGGCAUCCCUCGGGGACCACGUGCCUCUGCCCCAGGGCUGCUGGUUUCUGGCCUCCCAGCACUGGGACAUGGUUGGGAGAUGCUGUGGGGGCUUCCCACCACCCACCUCGGUGCCAGCCCGGUGGGGACCGUGCCCAGUCCCAGCCCAGUUCCCCCAGUCCCAGACCAGCAGGGAUGCCCGCAGCCAGGCUCGGCCUCCAUGGUGCCUUCUGACUGCCAUAACCUUCCUGGCCACCCUGUCCCCAGCCCCAAAGGCACCCCCAUCAUGGAGCAUCCUCAGCCAGGCUGACCCCAUGGGGACCACCAGGUACCAGGGCCGGUGGGCUGGGGGUCCCGAGCAUCAUCCGGUGGAGAGGGCAGGCGGCGGCUGGCAGCAGAUUAUUUCUGGAUCGGAAGUUACCCACCACUGUGUCUAUUUUUUUUUCUUAAAUAAAAGACUAGAAAAAGAAAAAAACAAACAACCCACAAUGAAAUGGAAAGCCAAAACCGAAAAGCACUGCAGCGCUGUGAUGGCUGCAGCUCUGCUGCAGUGCCCUGUCCUAUGUCGGGGCUGGUUUGGAGUCAUCCCCAGCCAGGUGGGCUCUGCUGGAGGGAAAGGGCACACACAGCACUGUCGGCCCCCCCCUAAAACCCCAAACCCAUGGCAGAGCACUGUUGGCAACCUGGGAGCAUCACUGGCUUUGACGUCCAUCAGAGCAUUGAGCACUUUGGGGACAAAGCUGUGGAUUUGGGGCUCCCCCCUCCCCAGUCCUCCCCACCUUGGCAGCCCGAUCAAAGAGGGGGUGAUGGCACAGCCUCAUCUCACCAGUCCCCGUGCCUCAGUUUCCCUGGCAGGACAGCAGCAGCCUGGGGCAGUAUCUUGA